GAUGAACGCUGGCGGCGUGCUUAACACAUGCAAGUCGAACGGAAAGGCCCAAGCUUGCUUGGGUACUCGAGUGGCGAACGGGUGAGUAACACGUGGGUGAUCUGCCCUGCACUUCGGGAUAAGCCUGGGAAACUGGGUCUAAUACCGGAUAGGACGAUGGUUUGGAUGCCAUUGUGGAAAGUUUUUUCGGUGUGGGAUGAGCUCGCGGCCUAUCAGCUUGUUGGUGGGGUAAUGGCCUACCAAGGAGUCGACGGGUAGCCGGCCUGUGAGGGUGUACGGCCACAUUGGGACUGGGAUACGGCCCAGACUCCUACGGGAGGCAGCAGUGGGGAAUAUUGCACAAUGGGCGCAAGCCUGAUGCAGCGACGCCGAGUGGGGGAUGACGGCCUUCGGGUUGUAAACUCCUUUCGCUAGGGAUGAAGCGUUUUUGUGACGGUACCUGGAGAAGAAGCACCGGCUAACUACGUG
rnacentral:rRNA from 1 species